AGAGUUUGAUUCUGGCUCAGGACGAACGCUGGCGGCGUGCUUAACACAUGCAAGUCGAACGGGGUAUACAGGGCCAAAGCCUUCGGGGUGCGGACCUGUAUACUUAGUGGCGAACGGGUGAGUAACGCGUGAGUAACCUACGCAACAGAGGGGGAUAACAUCUGGAAACGGAUGCUAAUACCGCAUGAGACCCCGGUGUCACAUGGCACUGAGGUAAAAGGGAGCAAUCCCGCUGAUGGAAGGACUCGCGUCCCAUUAGAUAGUUGGUAUGGGUAACGGCCUACCAAGUCGACGAUGGGUAGCCGGACUGAGAGGUUGAACGGCCACACUGGGACUGAGAUACGGCCCAG
rnacentral:rRNA from 1 species